AGAGGGCCUUGAGGCUCCUGGGUGAUGGGGAAAGCCCGCAGGAAGACACAAAUUUGCCACAGAUAAUCCACAAAGUGAAUACUCCAUAAGUGGUAACUAAGAAUGAAGUGUAAAAUAAAACCUCUACAACUCCAAGAUCACAAAAGCAGGCUAUACCAAGACGGGAAAUUCUAGUUCUACAUAAAAUGAUACGUUAAGAGACCUAAGUCCCUAAGAAUGGGGUUUUUAAACAAAAGUGCCCCCUGAACCCGAUCAUACUAGAACAAAUGUGAUGCUAUUAUUUUAUGAAAGUUCUCAUUUUGGGGGGAGACAAACACAAAAGGCUUAAUGAUUCCUAGGAAUGGAUUGAUAAUACAAGAUUGUUUUUUGAGUUGCUAGGCAACACUGAAAAACAAAUGUCGAUGUUCUGAGAUCACAGCUUGGUUGUUCUCCCAUGGGCAGGACCAGUGCUACCCGGCCUUCCUGCACUCCAUUGGAGAACAGGAGUGGUACAGAGCCACUGCGAUGCUGAGUCCACAGUGGCAACAGACACCAACUGGCAUCUCCAUGAAAAGUCACAACUGACCGCCUGGCUGCCAAGAUCUUUGGUACAUUACCCCCUUUUCCCCUACCGGUCUCAUUAAAGCCCCAUUCACCCCUAAGAGUGAUUUUGACAUCUGGGAAAGUA
rnacentral:lncRNA from 1 species